GAGAGAGAGGCAAACGUGCACUAGACCCGUACGGGAAACCUUCCCCGGUCGUCAUGUACAGGAAUAUUCAUUUCAGAAUCAGCUGAUAAUCGAGAAAAGUGGACUUAUUAUGAAACAGUUAGUUCUUCACGUGCAAUAUGAGCCCUAAUAAACGUUUCAUGCUUAAAGUUCAAUUUCAAUUACGAGGAAAUUAGCGACUGGAAAUUCACUAUUGUAUCUUGCACUGUCUGGCAACCUUCUGGGUUGGAUACAGACAUCUGUAGAAGGACGUUUUGCUUGGAUACUGAUGAAAGCGAAGUCUAUCUGCUAUUUUUUCACUUUUGGUGCGAUUCAAAGCAGUGUCACGCACAGGCCGUGUUAAGUGCAGUGAAUACGACAGUGCAUAUAUCAUUCACAGCAUCAUCUGUGAAGAAGUUUGGAGGAAGAAACGACAGGUUGAAUAUCAAUGAAGAUUAGAAAACGACCGAUCGAAGCCCCUUGUCUUUGAACCCCUCUACGAAAAAAAGGAACAAAUAAUAAUGAUUGCUGAAGUCAUGUAUUUUUUGCUUAUAUUUUCAGUAUUCUAUAUGCUGUUCAAAGUGGAAUCCUGUACUCACAGAGGAUCGAGAUUCACCCUGCCAGUUCAGGUUGCUUUCUGGGUUAUAGGGUUGUUCAUGUUUUGGAUGAUCACGUAUUCAUAUUAUAGAUGGAAAACAUGGGAUGGGUUUGGAGAAUUCUGUAAAUUCUCCUUCGAUUUUAAAUUUGAUACUUUCCCGGAUGAAAUUGAGUUUGGCUUCUCAGCGCGACUGACCUCUUGCGGGAGGAAAAUUCCCAGAUCCUUUCAGUCGACAACUUACGAAAAUAAACAACGGAUCUUUCCUAAAUAAUUACCCUAAUGGUUUACUUGUGGGGGGGGGGGUGUCAUUUUCUUUGUGAUAUUUAAUGUCUUCCGUUUGUGUUUUUAAGGCCAUACCACACGAACUUGUACUGAACACGCCGAAGAGGUGGAUACAGUGGGUCACUAUCUAGAGGGAGUUCACUAUCUAGGAGGGGUCACUAUCCAGAAGGGGAUCACUAUUUAGAAGGGGUCUCUAGGAAAGAUCCGGAACAAAUCUUCUGUUGCUGGAUGAUGAGAUGCAGUGACACCGUUGCAGAAUCCAACAGACGCUUAUAGUACAGAUUAAAGAGGAGGAUUUCCUGCCUCACUGACCAUCAGUGGCUUAAAUGUUAUAUAGUCUCAGGGACCCCAAAACGCUAUAUUUAUAGAAAUAAAGUAUAUAGUUCCCUCAUUAGUAUCAAUACCGAAUGUGUAAGGAACAUGAAUAUAUAAUGUCGAUUGUGGGUUUUUGUUCCCAUUAAAGCUCACAUAAAUAAAAUUUUUGUUUAUUGUAAAUAUUUGUGUAAUAUGUUACUAUUGUACAACUUAAAUGAAUUCAAAAUCAUUUUCUGUACAUUAUUCUAUUCUAUUGUAUGUAAAUAUUAUUAAUAUUUAUGGACGCUACAGUUCCGUCCGCACAAUAUAAUAAAACAAUAGAACACAAUGAAAAUAUGUAUUACGGGCUGCUCUAUGAGCAAGAGCCCGUGCUGGCAUAAGGUCAGCUUAAUCAAAAACAACAACAAGCAAUGAAAAUGUAAUAUAGAGGUCAAGAGUGACGGAACAGCUGUGGUGUUGAGUUGGCAGUAAAUGGAAUAGACAAUUAA